UCUCGAAUUUUCCAUCAUAAUUGCAGAUAAAUUAAUUUUUCUUUAUACGUAUAGUACGUAUCUUGUUUUUUAAGCAAUAUUCAACUUAAUAAUUUAUAUUUAUUAAUUGUCUUUAGUCGUCAUAUUUGAAUUUUGUUAUUUUUGUAUGCAUAUUUCUAAUAAUUUUUUUUCAGCCUUCAUCUCUGUCAAUAGGCGGAAAGUGAUGAUAUAUUUUUCUUUUAAUAUAACACGCGUGUCAUUUAAUGACUGCAAAUAUCUGGGGUUCCAUUUAGCAAGUUGUGACAGAAAAUUGUUAGAAAACAAUAUUCUUGAUAGUUGCAACUGUAAUGCGCAUGUUAUUUUUCGUGUAUGAUGCAACGAAUGGCUUAUACCGUACGUUUCAAGAGAAAGGUAUACGUUUCAAUGAUGAUAGUUGAAAAAAGAUAGUUUCAAAAGAUUUGAAUGCGAUGUUACAUUACUACCUCAAAUAUACGUGGAAUCAGAAGGUAAAACAAACAUGUUCACGCGAUUGGCGUUGUGAAGGAGAAAGUGCGUUGCGUUACCAUAUU